rnacentral:rRNA from 1 species
UACAGAGGUCUCAAGCGUUGUUCGGAUUCAUUGGGCGUAAAGGGUGCGUAGGCGGUUGGGUAAGUCGGGUGUGAAAACUCCAGGCUCAACUUGGAGACGCCACCCGAUACUGCUCUGACUUGAGUUCGGUAGGGGAGUGGGGAAUUCCUGGUGUAGCGGUGAAAUGCGCAGAUAUCAGGAGGAACACUGGUGGCGAAGGCGCCACUCUGGGCCGAAACUGACGCUGAGGAGCGAAAGCGUGGGGAGCGAACAGG